GGGCCGCGAAGGAAGCUUCAAUUAUAAAUGGAAGCAUGCAGGAAAAUUUGAGAGUCUCCGAUCUUAGCUCAGAAGAGCAUGUGCACACGAAGGUGCGCAUGGGACUGCUUCGAUAGCAUCACAGAUCUCAGUACACAUGAGAGCCCCAAAGAGGUUUCGAACUCACCGGCACUAAACUCGACAUUAGCGGUGAGUGUGUGAGCGUGCAUGUGUGGAAGACCCAUGGCAGAUGGCCGAACGAGGUCGGCUAGAGCCCUUUCCUCCCUUCUCCCCCACUUAUUCUCUCUCCUCUUUUUCUUUUUUCUGCAUCUGAUUGCACCACCC
rnacentral:lncRNA from 1 species